GCCGCAGACAGUUGGAGGGG
rnacentral:miRNA from 1 species